rnacentral:rRNA from 1 species
GAUGAACGCUGGCGGCGUGCCUAAUACAUGCAAGUCGAGCGAACAGAUGAGGAGCUUGCUCCUCUGACGUUAGCGGCGGACGGGUGAGCAACACGUGGUAACCUACCUUUAAAGACGGGGAAAAUUCGGGGAACCGGGACCAAAACCGGGAAAUAAUAUUGAACCCAUGGGUCAAUUGGUAAAAGACGGUUUUGUGGUCAUUAAUAGUGGGUUCCCCGCCGCAUUAGCUAGUUGUUAAGGAAACGGCUUACCAAGGCAACGAUGCGUAGCCGACCUGAGAGGGUGAUCGGCCACACUGGAACUGAGACACGGUCCAGACUCCUACGGGAGGCAGCAGUAGGGAAUCUUCCGCAAUGGGCGAAAGCCUGACGGAGCAACGCCGCGUGAGUGAUGAAGGUCUUCGGAUCGUAAAACUCUGUUAUUAGGGAAGAACAAAUGUGUAAGUAACUAUGCACGUCUUGACGGUACCUAAUCAGAAAGCCACGGCUAACUACGUG